UGUAGUGUUGUGUCACAGACCUAAGCAGAGAUUCGGUCAAGAAACUGCUCCGCCGUAUUUUCCUCCUUGUUGUCGCUCUUAUCAGGUUGAGGUGGCCUUCUUAAAUGCGAAGCCUCAAAAUCCUAAUGCUCUUAGCAAGGUUGCCUCGUAUACAGUGAAGAAGAGGGCUGUGAGUGAGUACAACAAGUCUCUAGACAAUGCUUAUAAGUCAUCUGUGCACCAAGGGCUAGCCACAGAAAUUGCUUAUAAGAAUCUGGUGCUUAUAUGGUGGGAGAAUUGUUAGACAGAAAUUUAUGUGAUAUUUAUUAUAUUUGGAUGAUAAUGUAUGAAUAUUUUGGAUGCUAUAUAAUAUAUGUUAUCGA